GUGAGGGUUUAAGGGUGAGGGGACAGGAGAGAGAAGGGCAGUGUUCCCAAGCCCUGGCACACUGAGGCCCCAUGGAAGGAUAAUUCACCCACUUUCUAAGUGAUAAACUGAGUCUCCAAGACGAAAAGGAACCAUUCAGGGUUGUAUGGCAAGUGACUCAGCCCCAUUUCAGGGACAGGGUCUCCACAGGAGAAGGCUCCUGGCCCCUGCCUAGUUUGGCCCGGAUCCCUCUGCACUUUUAGGGAGUGUGAAUGCAGAAGGAAGGGGUGCUCUUGUGUUCAGCCAGCCCUUAGCUGUUGCCAAGGCACAGGUGUGGAGUCCCCACUGGGGAUGAAACCCAGCUGUGGGGAAGAGGAGCAGGAAACCCUUCAAACCUCAUGAUGUUUCUGCAGAACGGGCCUGGGAGCAAGGUGAUUCCAGAAGCCAGGCACGUGGUGCAUCCCUGUAAUCCCAGCACUCAUGAGGCUGAGACACGAGGAUCAUCUGAGCCCAGCUUGGACUACAUAGUUCGUGGUCAACCUGAACUAAAUUGAGACCCUGUCUUUAAAAAAAAAAGUGAUUCCAGGUCGCACCUGAGACUCUUGGUAGCUGUUGGCACUGGGAGUUGACCCCCCCCCCCGACUCAUCAAGAAUUCAUGCUCACCCACUGGGGCACCGGUCUGCCAAGAACGCCACCUGUGGCAUCAUCCCUACUGCCACCUACCCCAUCCUGCCAUGACUUGUAACUAAGCAGCCCCUGGCAGAUCCUCUUGCCAACCUCUAACACUUCCUGUUUCUCACACCUGCUCAAUGACAGAGGCGGACCAGGCUGUCUGCUGGCCAGACAGUGGCGAAGCACAGGCCCAGAUAGGGACACAGCUGGUCAGUCAUGCAGCGAUGCUAAGGGGAAACAGGCCCCACACCAAGCCCCUGCUUCUCUGCUAACUAGGCCUGAUUUGGGGAGGUCUCUCUCUGCCUAACUUCUUGGUUCUAACCUGCUGGGGAGAUCUGGUUCUCCAUUGGAUGGGGUGUGGAGGGUGGAGGCUAACACCACCCCUGCACUAGCGUGUGUGUGAAUAGAACAAAAGCAGUAAAAUGACCUCAGUUGGGUUUUGUGGUUUUUUGCAUGGCUGGACUGGCAUUUCCCUUGAUGUUGGCUACAGAGGAAGAAUCGGUCCAGUUAAUCCUAGGAAAAUGACUUGAGACCAGCUCUCCAGGAAGACUAAGAAACUGAGGUCUAGAGAGGAUCGAUGAAGACAAAGGACCUCAACAUUGUCUUCCAGCAAGGCAGUCAGAGAUGAGGAGGCCUAUAGGCACCACCUGCAAGCUGUUCAUCUAUCCUCUGAGUUGGAAGAGGAAAGGAAGACCUUGCCAAGCCCUCCAAACCUGCUUAUAUUCUCUGUCUGGGGGAGUCUGUGCUUUGUCACAGAAUGGACUCCUGGCUUCUCCAUCCUGCCUAACCAAAGAGUAGCUGGGGGCUUCUCUUAGUGAGAACACCCCUCAUUCUGCUUCCCUCACCCCCAAGAACCCUAGGAAAUGAAGCCUGGGCAUUCCGUCCCUGACUGGUGACAGGAGGAUCUGGCGCAGAGACGUCUCAAGGGGAGGGGAUGUCUGAGCUGUGCUCAGAGGACAAUAGGGAGU
ensembl:lncRNA